rnacentral:rRNA from 1 species
AUUGAACGCUAGCGGGAUGCCUUACACAUGCAAGUCGAACGGCAUGGCGAAAGGGUGGGUAAUGUCUGGUAACUUACCCAGUAGCGGGGUAUCCCUCCGCGAGGGCUUACCUAAUGCAGCAUACUAUUGGAGCGGUUGCGAUCGGCUUAGCUAGUUGGUGGGGUAACGGCUCACCAAGGCGACGAUCCGUAGCCGGUUUGAGAGGACGACCAGCCACACUGGGACGGAGACACGGCCCAGACUCCUACGGGAGGCAGCAGUGGGGAAUUUUGGACAAUGGGGGAAAGCCUGAUCCAGCCAGCCCGCGUGUGCGAUGAAGGCUUUCGGGUCGUAAAGCACUUUUGGCAGGAAAGCGGUACCUGAAGAAUAAGCACCGGCUAACUACGUGCCAGCAGCCGCGGUAAUUC